rnacentral:rRNA from 1 species
GACGAACGCUGGCGGCGUGCUUAACACAUGCAAGUCGUACGGUAAGGCCCUUUCGGGGGUCCACGAGUGGCGAACGGGUGAGUAACACGUGAGUAACCUGCCCACAACUUUGGGAUAACGCUAGGAAACUGGUGCUAAUACUGGAUAUGUGCCCCUGCUGCAUGGUGGGGGUUGGAAAGCUCCGGCGGUGGUGGCUGGACUCGCGGCCUAUCAGCUUGUUGGUGGGGUAGCGGCCUACCAAGGCGGCGACGGGUAGCCGGCCUGAGAGGGUGACCGGCCACAUUGGGACUGAGAUACGGCCCAGGCUCCGACGGGAGGCAGCAGUGGGGAAGAUGGCUCAAGGGGCACAGGCCUGAUGCAGCAACGCCGCGGGCGGGAUGGCGACCUUGGGGUUGUAAACCGCUUGCAGCAGGGACGAAGCUUUUUGUGACGGUACCUGCAGAAGAAGCACCGGCUAACUUCGUG